ACUGGGUGUAAAGGGAGCGUAGACGGCACUGCAAGUCUGGAGUGAAAGACCCGGGGCGUCAACCCCGGGACCUGCUUUGGAAACUGUGGUGCUAGAGUGCAGGAGAGGUAAGUGGAAUUCCUAGUGUAGCGGUGAAAUGCGUAGAUAUUAGGAGGAACACCAGUGGCGAAGGCGGCUUACUGGACUGUAACUGACGUUGAGGCUCGAAAGCGUGGGGAGC
rnacentral:rRNA from 1 species